rnacentral:rRNA from 1 species
GCGACCCCAGGUCAGGCGGGAUCACCCCCUGAGUUUAAGCAUAUCAAUAAG